rnacentral:rRNA from 1 species
AACGGGAUUUAGUAGACAGAAGCCUCGGUGGAAGAUUACUAAUGAGAGUGGCGAACGGGUGAGUAACGCGUGAGCAACCUGCCUAUGACAGUGGGAUAGCCUCGGGAAACCGGGAUUAAUACCGCAUAAAAUCGUAGAAACACAUGUUUUAACGGUCAAAGAUUUAUCGGUCAUAGAUGGGCUCGCGUCUGAUUAGCUAGUUGGUGAGAUAACAGCCCACCAAGGCGACGAUCAGUAGCCGGUCUGAGAGGAUGAACGGCCACAUUGGAACUGAGACACGGUCCAAACUCCUACGGGAGGCAGCAGUGGGGAAUAUUGCACAAUGGGGGAAACCCUGAUGCAGCGACGCCGCGUGAACGAAGAAGGUAUUCGUAUCGUAAAGUUCUGUCCUAUGGGAAGAUAAUGACAGUACCAUAGAAGAAAGCUCCGGCUAAAUACGUGCCAGCAGCCGCGGUAAUACGUAUGGAGCGAGCGUUGUCCGGAAUUAUUGGGCGUAAAGGGUACGCAGGCGGUUUAAUAAGUCGAAUGUUAAAGAUCGGGGCUCAACCCCGUAAAGCAUUGGAAACUGAUAAACUUGAGUAGUGGAGAGGAAAGUGGAAUUCCUAGUGUAGUGGUGAAAUACGUAGAUAUUAGGAGGAAUACCAGUAGCGAAGGCGACUUUCUGGACACAAACUGACGCUGAGGUACGAAAGCGUGGGGAGCAAACAGGAUUAGAUACCCUGGU